rnacentral:rRNA from 1 species
UACGUAGGUGGCAAGCGUUGUUCGGAAUUAUUGGGCGUAAAGGGCGCGUAGGCGGUUUGUUAAGUCGGCUGUGAAAGCCCGGGGCUCAACCCCGGAGGGUCAGCCGAUACUGGCAGACUAGAGUACGGAAGAGGUAGCUGGAAUUCCCAGUGUAGCGGUGAAAUGCGUAGAUAUUGGGAGGAACACCAGUGGCGAAGGCGGCUCACUGGACCGGAACUGACGCUGAGGCGCGAAAGCGUGGGGAGCAAACAGG